GAGAAAGAGGAGUGUCUGAAUAGCCAAGGAGACUGCCUACAGCCUAACCAACUCAGAGACUAUCGAUAAAGUCUUUGAUAUGGUGUUAAAGACGCAGGCAAGUCAUCCUUGGCUACCACACAACUUCUCAUUCU
rfam:Brassica napus, WGS project CCCW01000000 data, contig: 13255